GAACGCCGUAUGAGGGGAAACUCUCACGUACGGUGUGAAGUGGGGGGAAAUCCUGAGAUAUCAUCAAGGGAUUACCUAUCACUAU
rfam:Eubacterium sp. CAG:841 genomic scaffold, scf73